UACAGAGGGUGCGAGCGUUGUCCGGAAUCACUGGGCGUAAAGGGCGCGUAGGCGGCUUGAUAAGCGUGCGGUGAAAGCCCGGGGCUCAACCCCGGGUCGGCCGUGCGAACUGUCGAGCUGGAGCACUGUAGAGGCAGGUGGAAUUCCGGGUGUAGCGGUGGAAUGCGUAGAGAUCCGGAAGAACACCGGUGGCGAAGGCGGCCCGCUGGGCAGUGGCUGACGCUGAGGCGCGACAGCGUGGGGAGCAAACAGG
rnacentral:rRNA from 1 species